CUCAGAUUACUUCUUUACUUAGAAAAACAAAACGUUGUUGCGGAAGAUUCAGAGCCACAGAUAUUCUUUCUGGGCCUGUCAGUUUCUGAAUUCUUAGAUUUUUCGUUUAAUUUAGCCAUCAGGGAAUUUCCCCGACUAGAAAUAUCAAAGCAGAACCCAAACAAAAUCUCUAGCAUGAGCUCUUAUCUUCCAGGCUGGUGAGAAUGGGAUGUGCCUCCACUCUGAAGUGAGCAAGGGUACUGGUUUUCACCCCGUGCAGUCAACCUGAGGAUCAGAGAGAAGGCCUGAAAUGGAAACCAAUGACUUCAUUUGUUGCUGAUCCACAGCAACAGUGAUGGACUCUAACACUGGAGGAAAAUCUGGCUGCACUGGAUUUAUGAAGAGCUGGUAAAGAAGAUUUUGCUCUGUCACCCUGGUGUGCAAUGGCAUGAUCUUGGCUCACUGCAACCUCCGCCUCUCCAGUUCAAGUGAUUCUCCUGCCUCAGCCUCCUGAGUAGCUGGGAUUACAGGCGCCUGCCACCAUGCCCAGCUAAGUUUUGUAUUUUCAGUAGAGACAGUUUUUCAUCAUGUUGGGCAGGUGGUCUCAAACUCCUGACCUCAAGUGAUUUGCCCGCCUCAGCCUCCCAAAGUGCUGCGAUUAUAGGUGUGAGCCACUGCACCCAGCCCGGAACCUCCCUUUCCAGUUUGGAUUCCCUCAGGUCCUCGACUCAUACCUCUGCACUUCCAGCAUUACCUCCUCCUUCUCCUCCAGUCGAAAUCCCACCCAUUUUACAAGUCCCACUUCAAAUCCUGAGUUCUUUGAUAAAGCCUUCCCAGGCUCUCCGACCCACAGAGACAGCUUCCCAAAUCUCAUUGCAUACAGUAGCUACACCAUUUGUUUGGCAAAUAUUCUGCCUUUCUGGCAUAUAUUCAUGACACAUUGUAGAUGCUGCAUGUAUGUUGAAUGAAUGAAUGAAUGAAUGAAUCUCUAUACCAGAUUAUAAAAAAAUUGAAAGUCGUGUCUUAUGCUCUGUUCUAAUCCAGGGCUGUAGAGUCAUUGAGGAGAGAUAUAUGGCAAUGAUGAAAAGAUUUUAAAAGCCUAGAAGCCCCAGGGAGGGAGUAGUAUUUCCCAGAGUCCUCUCUGCUUCUCUAGUUUAGAGCAACACCAAUUUACCUUCUGGCUAUGAUUGAAAUGUUUGUGUUCCCCAAAAUUCAUAUAUUAAAAACCAAAUCUUCAAGGUGAUGGAUGGUAUUAGCAGGUGGGUCCACGGGAGGUGAGUAGGUCAUGAGAGGAAGCCCUCAUGAAUGGAAUUAAUGCCCUUAAGAAAGAGGCCUCAGAGGGCUGCCUCUCCCCUUUCACCACGUGCGGACAAGGAGAGAAGGUGCUGCUCACCAACCAGAAGGCAGGCCCUCCGCAGACACCACAUUGGCCGGCACCUUGAUCAAAGACUUCCCAGCCUCCAGAACCAUGAAGAAACACACCGUUGUUGUUUAUUUAUUUAUUUAUUUAUUUAUUUUCGAGACAGAUUUUCACUCUUGUUGCCCAGGCUGGAGUGCAAUGUCGCAAUCUCUGAUCACUGCAACCUCCGCUUCCUAGGUUCAAGUGAUUCUCCUGCCUCAGCCUCUGGAGUAGCUGGGACUACAGGCAUGUGCCACCACGACCGGCUAAUUUUUGUAUUUUUAGUAGAGACAGGAUUUCACUGGUCACGGGCCAGGCUGGUUUUGAACUCUUGACCUCAAGAGAUCCACCUGCCUUGGCCUCCCAAAGUGUUGGGAUUAUAGGCGUGAACCACUGCACCUGGCCCAUCGUUGUGGUUUAUAAGCCACUCAGUCAAUGUUAUAGCAGCCCAAACAGACUGAGACACUCCUGCAAAAGCAUGCCAAGAGCAAAGGAUCUUUUCUUCUUUCGGGGUCAGGGUCAGGGAUGGCCUUUAGUAACCAUUUUGCCUUGGACCUUAGCUAUCCAACUUCUCAUGCUCUCUUGAUUUGAUACCCAGGUAUAUGGCCAACAGACUCCGACAGGGCCACCAACAGCACGUCUGGAAAGUGCUCUGGUAUCACAAAGGUGUCUGUCAUUUCUCUCAGCCACCACAGCCUAUGGAGAGAGGGAUAGAAGUAAUAAGUGAGAAGACCCCUCAUACCUCUCUCUCUCUACCUCAUGAUGAUAUUCUUCAAAAUCUCUGGGCUCCUUUGUUUGAGCACCAUUAGUAUAUUAUAAUAUGGUAUGUUAUAAUACAGUGUAAUAUAAUGUAGUGUGGUAUAAUAUAUUACAUUAGCCAAUCUAUUUUUUGUUCAUUUUUUUAGGUUUCUGGAGGUCUAGUUUCUGUUACUCUGUUGUCCCAUAAGUUGGAUACCACUAUUUUAUGUGUAAUUCAAUUUUUCUUUUUCUUUUGUUUUCUUUUCCACUGCAACCUCUGCCUCCCAGGUUCAACUGAUUCUCCUGCCUCAGCCUCCCGAGUAGCUGGGACUACAGGUGCAUGCCACCACGCCUGGCUAAUUUUUGUACUUUUAGUAGAGAUGUGAUUUCACCAUGUUGGCCAGGCUGGUCUUGAACUCCUGACCUUGUGAUCCACCCACCUCGGCCUCCCAAAGUGCUGAGAUUACAGGUGUGAGCCACUGCACCAGCCUUGUAAUUCGAUUUUUAUAGCUAAUGACAAUCACUUUCUGAAAAUAAAUGCUUUUACUUUUAUCUUAAUAUUUUGAAAAAAUAUCUUUAGCAGAACUUUUUCCUUAGCGGUGAAUAGCAUUCAUUGGAUAGUUCUUCCUGGUCAAGGGAAAGGGAAAAGGAAACUUUGGGUUACUUUUGGCCUUACGAUUCUAACUACCCAUCAGCGGACACAUCACAAAACGCUAUUUGUUGUCUCACAUAUUUGACAGAUGAGUUGAAAUCCUUUUAUAUAAUUCAGCAAACAUUUAACAUGGGAACACUGUGCUAGGCUUUUGUGAAAUAUGUAGAUGAAUGAGAAAGUCUUGGCCAUCCGUGGAUGAUAAGACACGAACAUAGAUAACUGCACAAGAACUAUUUCAGGCAUCCCUUCUGACUCACCACUGGCAAUAGAUUGGGCCUUAGACCAAGAAAAAUGAAACGCAAAAUUGAAAAAAAAAACAAUCCUUUCAAUUUACUGGGCAACCAACCAAAACUACAGACUUUUCAGGUUUUAGAUAACAUUACAAAGAAUCUUUCUUGAUUAUACUUUUGUUCUUGUAGCAAUACAAAAUGUUUUCUGUGUUUAUAGUUAAAGUGCUGGUUCUGGGACUGUUUUACCAUUGGGGAUAUAUGUGAAUUUUUACUUGUGUUUAAUUUCAGAGAAUGAAUACGUAAUUCUGGUCCUCCCCAGCCCCUGCCUACCUUUGGGCAGUGGGGGGUGGGGGAAAAUCAGGAAGGAACUAAAAUACAAGGCUUUUCCUCCCAUUUUACAUUCCAACUUGUCUCACAGGAAAUGAACAAAAUAGACAUUCUCAAAUGUAACAUUGUACUUUUCUGUGCUGUGCUACAAAAAGACCUUUACAGGAAUUUUUCCUGUGUGUGUUCCGGAAAUUGAAUUUUUUAAGGACAAAUGUGGAACUUGGAUUUUCUUUUCUUUUCUUUCUUUUUUUUUUUUUUUUGAGACAGAGUCUCACUGUGUCCCCGAGGCUGGAGUGCAGUGGAGGGGUCUCAGCUCGCUGCAACCUCCAGCUCCAGGGUUCAUGAGAUUCUCCUGUCUCAGCCUUCCAAGUAGCUGGUAUUACAGGCACCAGCCACUACACACAGCUUGUUUUUGUAUUUUUCGUAGAGAUAGGGUUUCACCAUCUAUCUUGGACCAUCUAUAGGCUGGUCUUGAACUCCUGGCCACAAGUGAUCCACCCACUUCGGCCUCCCAAAGUGUUGGGAGUAUAGGUGUGAACCUUUGAGCCUGGCCAAGAACUUGGAUUUUCAUUUCCUGAAGAAUAAAUGCCAAACUCUUUUACAUUGAAGAUCUGUAAAAUCUCAUCUCAUUAAAAUCAUUUCCAGCUUUAUCUAUAUAUCCAUCCUUACUCCAUAUAUCCAGCAAUAUCCUGUGAAGCAUGUCUAAUAUUUUUAUUUCUGAAACUGGAUUCUACCCCCCACUUUAAAAUACCCUUUUCUUUCCUCUCAAUCCUACUGCUAAAAUCCUCAUCUUUCAAGGCACAUCUUCAAAGAGGAGGCAUCCGUAAAGCAUCCCACUCACCAUUCUCCAAGCUAGUAUUUCUCCUUUCCUGAAUUUUAAUAAUUUUUCUAUAAUUAAGAGUUAUGGUGGGGCACAGUGGCUCACAGUCAAUCCCAGCACUUUGGGAGGUUGAGGUGGGCGGAUCACAAGGUCAGGAGUUCGAGACCAGCCUGGUCAAUACAGUGAAGCCCCGUCUCCACUAAAAAUACAAAAAUUAGCCAGGCAUGGUGACGCAGCUGUAGUCCCAGCUACACAGGAGGCUGAGGCAGGAGAAUUGCUUAAGCCCAGAGGGCACAAGAUUGCAGUGACCUGAGAUCGGCCACUGUACUCCAGCCUGGGCGACAGAGCAAGACUCCCUCUCAAUUAAAAAAAAAAAAAUGAAAAAAAAAAGUUAUUGCUUUUCUAAUUAGAAAUAAAAACUAAUUGGCUUGCCUUUGCUUUAUUGGUAAAUAAAUUUUAAAAAACUAAAAAGUAUGAACUAGCUUGUCAAAUAAAACAUGCACAUAACCUUUUUUUUUUUUUUUUUGAGACUGAAUCAAUCUUGGCUCACUGCAACCUCCACCUCCCAGGUUCAAGUGAUUCUCUUGCCUCAGCCUCCCUAGCAGCUGGAGUUACAGGUGCACGCCACCACGCCUGGCUAAUUUUUGUAUUCUUAGUAGAGAUGGGUUUUACUGCAACCUCAAUCUCCUGGACUCGAGCCAUCCUCCUGCUUCAGCCUCCUGAGUAGCUGGAACUGCAGAAGUAAGCCACCACACUAGCCAAUUUUUUUUUUAUUUUUAGGUUAAAGCCAAGGUCAUGCUAUGUUGCCCAGGCUAGUCUCAAACCCAGAUGGGUUUUGGCCAGGCUGGUCUUAAAUUCCUGACUUAAGGUGAUCCACUGACCUUGGCCUCCCAAAGUGCUGGGAUUACAGGCGUGAACCAUUGCAACCGGCCUAAACUUUUACACCUUGAAUGUGAGCAGGACAUAACUGAUAUCUGCCCAAAGGUGCAUCAGCCUCAUUCUCUGAUCAAUCUCUCCCGCUCUCCCACUUUCAGUCCCUACGCUCAUUCCAAAUAUGUAGCAAUAAAAAGUUUAUAAAAAGGGGAAAUAAAAAUGAUGUAGUUGGUUCAGAAUGCAAAAACUUAAAUACUUCCAUGGCACAGAAACAAACAAAAAUUACACAGGGAAGAGCUGAAUCGCAGCUAUAUACCUACUUGCCUUCUAUUCUCAGGUCCAGGGCUUUGGCUCCCACAAGGUAGUCAAGACUAACAGCAGACAGCAUCACGCAGAGACCUUUGAGGAUGGGGACUAGGGAUGGGGCUCCCUCUUGUGAUGGAGCCUGAAAAAACGUUGGAUACCCUAUGGCUUAAAGUUACGGAAGCACAGAAGUUGGGAAAAGAGGAAUUCAAGGACAGAGCCUGAUGUAGUGAAUGCAUCAAAAGAAAAAAAAAUAGCAACAUUUUAAUGGAAGAUUUUUUAAAUGACAAAUGAAUGCAUGUCAUAGUCCUAUAAAUUUUUCUCAAAUUGACACGUGGGUUUAAUUUUUUGGUAUUCCUGCCUUACUUUGAUAUUGUAAGUAUUUACAGUGUGUAAAUAUUGUGGUAUUUACAAUAUCAACAUAAGGAAAUAAGGCAGGAAUACCAAAAAGACUUCUGUGUUUCUGCUUCUGAACUGAGGUCCGGGCAGCUUUGCGGACGUAAAGGCAAUACUGUCAGGUAGGAAAAAGUGAGCAUGGAGGAAACAGGAAAGAGACAAUAAAUAAAAGACUACAGCUCUUUCCGCUCAGAAUAGCCUUGUGCAAAGUAAAAUUCAAAACCACAUUAAAAUAUUUUACAUAAGAAACAGCAUGAAUUCCACCUCCCCAGUUAAGAGUACGAAUUCACUCUAGAUAAAAUUAGGCUUGGCCACCUGUAAUCCCAGUGCUUUAGGAGGUCAAGGCAGGUGAAUCACCUGAGGUCAGCAGUUCGAGACCAGCCUGGCCAACAUGGUGAAACCCUGUCUCUACUAAAAAUACCAAAAAUUAGUCAGGCGGGCACCUGUAAUCCCAGCUACUCAAGAGUCUGAGACAAGAGAAUCGCUUGAACCCGGGAGGCUGAGGUUGCAGUGAGUCAAGAUCAUGCCAUUACAUUCUUGCCUGGGUGACAAGAGCAAAACUCCAUCUCAAAAAAAAAAAAGCAAAAGAAAAUAAGCCUGGCAUGGUGGCUCCUCCCUGUAAUUUCAGCAUUUUGGGAAGUCAUGGGUUUGAGACUAGCCUGGGCAACAUAGCAUGACCUUGACUUUAAUCUAAAAAUUAAAAAAAAUUAGCUAGUGUGGUGGCUCACUUCUGCAGUUCCAGCUACUCAGGAGGCUGAAGCGGGAGGAUGGCUUGAGUCCAGGAGAUUGAGGCUGCAGUAAGCUAUGAUCAUGUCACCGCACUCCAGCCUGGGCUGCAAAACAAGACUCUGUAUCAAAAAAAUAAAAUAAAAUAAAUAAAUAAUUUCAUAGAACUGCUUGAUAAGGAAUUGAAAAUAAAUGUGCUUAUGAUACAUAAAGAGAUAUAUUCCCUCCUUAAAAAAAGAACAAGAAAGUAGGAAGCAAAAAAAUCCAUUAUAGAACAAGAAAUAGGUAGCUCUGAAAGAGAAAUAGAAAUUUAAAAUUUGACAUUAAAAUUUUAAAAAUCAGUUGAAAAAAUGAACUCUAGGCUGGAUAUCUUCUCCAAAAGGAGAAAGAAGACGAGGGGAAAUAAUAUGGUUUUGAAGUUCUGUGAUAAAUGGAAUAUUAGUAAUUAAACAUAAUGGCAGGCGGGGCGCAGUGGCUCAUGCUUGUAAUCCCAGCACUUUGGGAGGCUGAGGCAGGUGGAUCACAAGAUCAGAGUUCAAGACCAGCCUGGCCAACGUGGUAAAACCCUACUAAAAAUACAAACAAAACAAAACAAAAAACAGCCGGGAGUGAUGGUUCACGCCUGUAAUCCCAGCUACUUGGGAGGCAGAGACAGGAGAAUUGCUUGCACCUGGGAGAUGGAGGUUGCAGUGAGCUGAGAUCAGGCCACUGCACUCCAGUCUGGGCAACAAAAAAGAAAAAGAAAAAGUAAUAAUAUAAAUUGAUUUAAUGUCCAAAAUUUCUUAUUGAAUCUCUGAUUGUCAUUUUUGGCAGCUUAGCUCCAUGUUGUCAGAAGGCAGCGUGCUAUGCUGUGAGAAACUCUCUUGUCUCCUCAGAGCUAUGCCAAAUGCAGUGAGAACCCUGGCUGAAAGUUAGGAAGUUGAUGUUAGCAACUUUGAGUGCUGCAUCCACCUUCACCGUAGAGGCUAAAUCCUUAUGCUUACAUGUAUCCCUGAAAGAUUUAAAGGCUCGUCACCCUUUCAUACCAAAAAAUAUCUUCUCCAUGCUUUAAAAGGGUUCCUUACUUUGCGGGGGGAGACAACCACAUAUAUCAUAUACCGAAAUUUAUCAUGAUAAGGUUCCAAAUCCUAUUUUAUAUUUUAAACUACACCAUGGUAAUAUUUAAACCAUCCCAUUCCAGACAAUAUCCCAUGCUAGAAGAGUAGAUAUCUUUUAAAAAAAAAUACUGGUCAAGAAUGGUGGCUCAUGACUGUAAUCCCAGCACUUUGGGAGGCUGAGGUGGGCAGAUCACGAGGUCAGGAGUUCCAGACCAGCUUGGCCAACAUGGUGAAACCCUAUCUCUACUAAAAUACAAAAAAUUGCCAGGCGUGUGGCAUGCCCCUGUAAUCUUAGCUACUCAGGAGGCUGAGGCAUGAGAAUCCCUUGAACCCAGGAGGCGGAGGUUGUAGUGAGCCAAGAUCAUGCACUCCAGCCUGGGUGACAGAGUGAGACCCUGUCUCCAGAAAAAAAAAAAAAAGAAAAAGGAAAAAAGUAGUUUAUCAAAUAAUAUACAUAUAAAAAAUUUUUAAGUCUAUUGUAAAAGAAUCAAAUUGUAUAGCCUCCAGUAGGAUAAAGAAAUAAAAUAUAGGAAACUUUAUCAAACCAAUUGGUUAGUCCAGGCAAACAAGACAGGUUGUGUUAAAGCAAUGAUGGAGAAGAAAAAAGGAAAGCAAAAGGAUAAUAAACAGAAAGCCUCUACUGAAAGAGCUUUUAAAAAUACCCAUGCUCUUUGGAACACUUGUGCACAGUUUGUGGGAAUGUAAAACGGUGCAGCUGCUAUGGAAAACAGAAUGGAGGUUCCUCAAAAAAUUAAAAAUAUACUUACCAUAUGAUCCAGCAAUUCCACUUCUAGCUAUAUCCAAAAGAAUUGAAAGCAGGAUUUCAAAGAGAUAUAGUAUUUGCAUACCCAUGUUCACAGAGGCAUUAUUCACAAUAGCCAAGAUGUGGAGACAAACUAAAUGCCCAUCGAUAGAUAAAUGGAGAAAGAAAAUGUGUUAUGUAUAUACCAUGAGAUAUUAUUCAGCCUUAAAAAGAAGGAAAUGCUCACACAAGCUACAACAUAGAUGAGCCUUGAGGACAUUACGUUAGACAUAAGCCACAAAAGACAAAUACUGUACGAUUCUACUUAUAUGAGGCAUCUAAAGUAGUUAAACUCAUAGAAACAAAAAGUAGAAUGGUGGUUGCUGGGAGCUGAAGAGAAGGAGAAGUGGGGAGUUUUUUAAUGGGUGUAGAGUUUCAGCUUUGCAUUAUGAAAAAGGUCUGGAAAUCUGUUGCACCACAACGAACACUUACUUAUCACUACUGAGCUGUACAUUUAAAAAUGGUUGAGAUGGUAAAGUUUACAUUGUGGGAUUUUCUUUUGUUGUUGUUGUUCGUCUAUUUUACCACAAUUUAAAAAAAAAAUGCCCAUUCUGGCCAGGCGUGGUAGCUCAUGACUGUAAUUUUGAGGGACUAUGUAACUUCACUUCUCAGGUCCGUAAGGGACGUGGUUUCAAAGGCAAGAACUUCCCAGAGCCAUACAUCCAUCCACCUCCCCAUCGGGGAGCCUAGAGUUCUUUGUCUAACUUUCCCCCGUGCAAGGGUAGACAGCCCAGGUGAGCUUACUUUGUUUAGAAAGCCAACCAAAUGCCUUGGAAGGAGGGGCUCUAUUGUGAGUCAGGCAGCCAAUCCAGCAUCAGAGUGAAAGAUCAAUCACUCCAGAGGAAGUUUGGAAAAGCUCCUCUAACUGGACGAAAACUUGAAUGGGGUGGGAGUAACUCCGGGGUUAAAUUUUCCCUACUCCCUUACCCCUGUACAUACGGAUUUCUCUCUCUGGGAUCCCCUCCCAUGGCAGUGUGGGAGCCUGCUUUCUGUCUCUCUCUUUACCUGUGUGGACUCCAUAUCUGGGUUCCCUCCAACGACAGUUUCUCUCUCUCUCUCUCUCU